rnacentral:rRNA from 1 species
GACGAACGCUGGCGGUGUGCUUAACACAUGCAAGUCGAACGGAAAGGCCCUGCUUUUGUGGGGUGCUCGAGUGGCGAACGGGUGAGUAACACGUGAGUAACCUGCCCUUGACUCUGGGAUAAUUUCAGGAAACUGGGGCCAAUACUGGAUAGGAGCUCCUGCUGCAUGGUGGGGGUGGGAAAGUUUCGGCGGUUGGGGAUGGACUCGCGGGUCAUCAGCUUGUUGGUGGGGUAGUGGCGUACCAAGGCUUUGACGGGUAGCCGGCCUGAGAGGGUGACCAGCGACAAUGGUACUGAGAGACGGCGCAGACUCCUACGGUGGGCAGCAGUCGGGAGUAUUGCACAGUGGGAGGAAGCCUGAUACAGCAACGCCGGGUGCGGGAUGACGGCCUUCGGGUUGUAAACCGCUUUCGCCUGUGACGAAGCGAGAGUGACGGUAAUGGAUAAAGAAGCACCGGCUAACUACGUG